rnacentral:lncRNA from 1 species
AUGGCCAAGACCUAUGAGAGAAGGAAAUAAUGAUAGUAGAAACAAAAGCUAAUGUUGCAAAUUCUAUAGACAAGCAUGGGCACGACACAGAAGAUUGUAAAGACCUAAAGAGAGAAAUAACGAGAUUGAUCCAAAGAGUCAUUUGAAAUAGUUUUUCGACAGAAUAGAGGAUUGCUUGAGGAGAAAUAGAAAAGAUGGUGAAAGAGAUUAAAA